UCAGUGUUGACAUUACGAGGUGCGAGGAGAUCAUCUGGUUUUGGGUAGUCCUGAUGAAAUAACAUUGAGUUUAAAGAGACAAAAUUUUCCAAACGUACGCCAUGCCUACGGUAAAGUUCGUCAAAAAACUGUGGCUUGAAAUGGUAAGCAAGUCCACUAACUUCAGGAAUGGCUGCCUCUUCUUUCGUUCCAUGAUUGAUUAAGUUGAGAGUUAAACCAAUUGCUAAACUGCCUAGAUAAAGGAUGGGGAAAAAAUACAAUGAUAAGUAAUACAUUGCAGUUUGGUUCAUGUUUGAAUACAAAAAAAUUAGAAAGAAAUUGUUAUAGUAAUAAUUGUUAUUUUAGGUCAGUUGUUAACAGUCUAAGAGACAAUCAAAGAAUUAAAAAUGUAAUAAAUUAAACAUAGUUUGUCUUGCUCUGUAUUUAACAAAGGUGAUUUUAACUGCACAUAAAUUUUAAUCAUAUGAAAAAUUUCAAAACGCUAUGCAAAUGUAGCAAUACAGAAGAUGAAAAAAUUACUCAAAUAUAAAGCAAUUUUAUAACUUCCUUCAAUAGAAAUAUUGACCAAAA